GUGACAGCGUGCGUUUCAAAAGCGGAUUAGUUCCGGUAUUGUAUUUACAGGUGGUCGUGAAGUGAACGGCUUAGUUGCAAAAUUGGUCGUGCGGUUCGUGAUGCAUCAUAACUCGCGGUAUUCGUUGUGUUCCGACGGUUUUUCAAAUCCUCAUGGAAACAACUUUUCACGAUAAUUGACGCUCUCGAAAGCUGGUUGCUGAAUAUUGUUUUAUUUGGAGAUAUUAGCAAGAUCGAUAAGAAACAGAUGGAAAUAAUGCUCGUCCUUUUAAAAAAUAUUUUAGAUCUAUUUAUAGCAACGCAUGAACUAGAGGACAAUUCAAAUCAUGUUGUUGUUUUGCCUCGGAGUAUCAAGAUCGUUAGGAUACUCGUAAUGUAAUAAUAAACUCCGGACAAAACAAUGUCGCCGCUACGUGCAACCGUCG
rnacentral:misc_RNA from 1 species